rnacentral:rRNA from 2 species
UUAUGAGAGUUUGAUCCUGGCUCAGGACGAACGCUGGCGGCGUGCCUAAUACAUGCAAGUCGAACGCUUUUUCUUUCACCGGAGCUUGCUCCACCGAAAGAAAAAGAGUGGCGAACGGGUGAGUAACACGUGGGUAACCUGCCCAUCAGAAGGGGAUAACACUUGGAAACAGGUGCUAAUACCGUAUAACACUAUUUUCCGCAUGGAAGAAAGUUGAAAGGCGCUUUUGCGUCACUGAUGGAUGGACCCGCGGUGCAUUAGCUAGUUGGUGAGGUAACGGCUCACCAAGGCAACGAUGCAUAGCCGACCUGAGAGGGUGAUCGGCCACACUGGGACUGAGACACGGCCCAGACUCCUACGGGAGGCAGCAGUAGGGAAUCUUCGGCAAUGGACGAAAGUCUGACCGAGCAACGCCGCGUGAGUGAAGAAGGUUUUCGGAUCGUAAAACUCUGUUGUUAGAGAAGAACAAGGAU